rnacentral:rRNA from 1 species
GUGAGGAAUAUUGGUCAAUGGGCGGGAGCCUGAACCAGCCAAGUCGCGUGAAGGAAGAAGGAUCUAUGGUUCGUAAACUUCUUUUGCAGGGGAAUAAAGUGCAGGACGCGUCCUGUUUUGUAUGUACCCUGAGAAUAAGGAUCGGCUAACUCCGUGCCAGCAGCCGCGGUAAUACGGAGGAUCCGAGCGUUAUCCGGAUUUAUUGGGUUUAAAGGGUGCGUAGGUGGUUUGAUAAGUCAGCGGUGAAAGUUUGCAGCUUAACUGUAAAAAUGCCGUUGAAACUGUCGGACUUGAGUGUAAAUGAGGUAGGCGGAAUGCGUGGUGUAGCGGUGAAAUGCAUAGAUAUCACGCAGAACUCCGAUUGCGAAGGCAGCUUACUAAGCUACAACUGACACUGAAGCACGAAAGCGUGGGGAUCAAACAGGAUUAGAAACCCGGGUAGUCC